GGGCUGCUAGUGGAAAGGUUACCAUUUCCUGUAUAGGAGGUAGGAAUUCCGGGUUCGAGUCCCGGGCAGUCCA